AUCCUGGCUCAGGACGAACGCUGGCGGCGUGCUUAACACAUGCAAGUCGAACGAUGAACCACUUCGGUGGGGAUUAGUGGCGAACGGGUGAGUAACACGUGGGCAAUCUGCCCUGCACUCUGGGACAAGCCCUGGAAACGGGGUCUAAUACCGGAUACAACCACUGACCGCAUGGUCGGGUGGUGGAAAGCUCCGGCGGUGCAGGAUGAGCCCGCGGCCUAUCAGCUUGUUGGUGAGGUAACGGCUCACCAAGGCGACGACGGGUAGCCGGCCUGAGAGGGCGACCGGCCACACUGGGACUGAGACACGGCCCAGACUCCUACGGGAGGCAGCAGUGGGGAAUAUUGCACAAUGGGCGAAAGCCUGAUGCAGCGACGCCGCGUGAGGGAUGACGGCCUUCGGGUUGUAAACCUCUUUCAGCAGGGAAGAAGCGAGAGUGACGGUACCGCAGAAGAAGC
rnacentral:rRNA from 1 species